rfam:Ciona savignyi cont_32230, whole genome shotgun sequence.
GGUAGCGUGGCCGAGCGGUCUAAGGCGCUGGUUUUAGGCACCAGUCAUUUCGAUGGCGUGGGUUCGAAUCUCACCGCUGCCA